CAGAGUUCUGAGUCUGCGUCUGAAGGAGAGAGGCAUGCAGGGAGAGCUUGGAAGCCAACAAGAGUAGCCAAAGAGAAACUGCUGCAGAGAGAGAAAAGAAAGCUGAAGCAGAGCAGAGCUGACUGACCAGGAACUGAACAGCAAUAGCAGUGAUUUGUAAAAGAAAACAGCAAUGGAUUGAUAGAAGUUUAAAAUAAAUUUUGAAGGUGGAAAACUACUAUAAUUUUGCAGUAAGAUUUUUCCUGUAAGACUGCUGGCAUACCUGUGCAAAAAAGUGUUAGAGACGUUUGAAGGCAGCAUCACCAUUCCUGAGGGGUCAAGUCACCACAUCUAUCUUCUUCAUGUAAACCACUGCAAUUAGUCACAUUACUUUUGUAAUUAAACUAGUAAAAUAUGAAAUUAAUUGCCAUUCAAAAACUAUAAAAUCUAGGAAAAUUAAAUUGAAAACUACGUUGGAGACCAAGCUUUGUAAUGUGGCCAGUUCUGUAUGCAUUGCACAGAGAUAAGAUAGAAGCUAACACAAAGAUCAGGCUUAU